rnacentral:lncRNA from 1 species
AAAAAAAAUGAAGUGUUGACUUCAUAUUUAUUAUGAAAUUUUUUGAAGUGAAGUUCAAUUGUUUUUUCUUUAAAAAAGGAUGGAUUUUCUCUAAGUGUUUAAACCUAAACGCUUAUCUAACCAUACAAUCCUAUGCAUACAUCUAAGGUGAGUGUGUGCGUGUCGGUGCGUCAUAGUAUCCAUAGUCCAUAUUACAAAAAUUGCCUAAAUACAUUCUAUGGCCUCUUUGCCAAGCUACAAACCAAUGGUAACAAAUUACAUCACUAAAUGGAUUAAAACUUGCAAAAAUGAAUACUAAACUAAAGGAAGUGAAGGAGAUAGUGGUGACAUGGAGAAAUGCUCAUGAAAUGAAUGGAACAAAAGAAAUGAGGUGAUUAGUAAAAUAAAGCAUNG